rnacentral:lncRNA from 1 species
CGAUUUUCAACUGGCAAUGUAUACUGCUCUCAUCAUCUUGAAGCGUGCGUGUGUGUGUAUUCAUAUUGCAAAGUUAAAACUUUACAACAACCUGUUAUUUGAAGUUCUGGUUAUUACAGGUCAUGAUAUGAAUUUUAUAAAUUUUAUAAAGUUAUAAAUUGGAGGAUUUAUAAUCCUCCAAUGAGAAGAACUGGGGAGACUGUCCUCUUAAAUCUAGGGCAGUAGUUUCAAGUUCCAUUCCAGAUGGGAAACAGGCAGCAUCUAUUAUUGUUUUGCUUGUCCAUAGUAAUGUGGUUGCAAUGAACAGAGUAUGGACCCUGGGGUCAGAUAAACCUGAGUUCAAGUCCUGGUGUACAAAGCUGAGCGGCUCUGCCUACGUGAUCUUCCAUUUCUUAGUAUGUGAAAAGGAAGAGCUGUGAUACUCAAAUGAGAAGGCAGAGCCAAAUGUGUGAUAAAUAAUAUAAAUGCAAGAAAUUCACCUCAUGAUCCAUAAUGUCAUCAUUGAAAUAGUUAAAAAGCAUUCUUCAAAGACUUGAAGUGACUAACUCCAUAUUAUUCUUAAUUUCUGGAUGAAAGUGAAGUGUGUGAUCAACUUUUUGAAAUCACAUAUUUUAUAUGACAAUAAAGACUUGAAGAACUUUUACUAAGGAAUUAAAGUUUAAAGUCCCUUAUAGGCAAAUAUCAAUUAAACACAACAGUGUACUAAUUUGGGUCCAGUAACUUACAGAGAAAAGCUAAAAUCAUAAUAAAAAUAAUAGAGUGAAUUUUGACUGGAACAUUCUGGGGUUGAAGUAUAAUAACUUUUUUUUCUUUUAUAUUUUAAUCUUAAAAUUAUUUUUGAGUAAAUAUUACAUUCAUAUGAUUCUUACAGAAAAAAUUCAAAAGGGCGUUUAGGGAGAAACCUACUUCCCAUGAAGUCCCUGGCACCUCAAUCCCUGAAGGCAACUAAUGCUAAUACCUCCUGGAGUUCCUUUUGUUCUGGGUAGACUGGUGGGAGAGGAGGGGAGAGGGAAGCCUGUUGACUCUGGAAUGCCUCUUCCUUCAGACCUGAGCCUUCAUCAUGCAGGCAGGCUCAGUCGCUCAGCCCUAUCCGAUUCUUUGACAACCCCAUGGACUGUAGCCUAUCAGGCUCCUCUGU